UAAAAUCCACAGCGGGCUACGAGUGAGUUUGAUAAUUUAAAUUUUGUACCAAACCCACUCAAGUGGUGCCCAUUUAGAAAUGACCAACGGGUCGUGCUACGCCGGCCUAGCCCAUCAAGGCAAGGAUCAUGCAUGCGCGUGCUCGUGCUCGUGUUAUACUGUGCCUACUAUGUGUUUCGUGUCGUGCCGUGCUUACUUAAUUUUGUUUGCUUAGGCCCGGCCUGACACAAGUGUCGUGCCUAAGAAGAAAAACGCAAUAAGUUUUUUCUUUUUUUAAAAUUUUUUAAGAGCGCAUGUCAAGUUGUUAGUGUAUUUUUUCAAGUUUAUAUACUUUUUUUAAGUCUAUCCCUUUAUUCCAAAUUAAUAAAAUUC
rnacentral:lncRNA from 1 species